rnacentral:rRNA from 1 species
UAGCUAGUUGGUGAGGUAACGGCUUACCAAGGCGACGAUCUGUAGCGGGUCUGAGAGGAUGAUCCGCCACACUGGAACUGAGACACGGUCCAGACUCCUACGGGAGGCAGCAGUGGGGAAUUUUGGACAAUGGGGGCAACCCUGAUCCAGCCAUGCCGCGUGAGUGAAGAAGGCCUUCGGGUUGUAAAGCUCUUUCGGCCGGGAAGAAAUCGCAUGGGCCAAUACCCUGUGUGGAUGACGGUACCGGAAUAAGAAGCACCGGCUAACUACGUGCCAGCAGCCGCGGCAAUACGUAGGGUGCGAGCGUUAAUCGGAAUUACUGGGCGUAAAGCGUGCGCAGGCGGUUUUGUAAGACAGGCGUGAAAUCCCCGGGCUCAACCUGGGAACUGCGUUUGUGACUGCAAGGCUAGAGUACGGCAGAGGGGGGUGGAAUUCCACGUGUAGCAGUGAAGUGCGUAGAGAUGUGGAGGAACACCAAUGGCGAAGGCAGCCCCCUGGGUCGAUACUGACGCUCAUGCACGAAAGCGUGGGUAGCAAACAGGAUUAGAUACCCUGGUAGUCCACGCCCUAAACUAUGUCAACUAGGUGUUGGGUGGGUAAAACCAUUUAGUACCGUAGCUAACGCGUGAAGUCGACCGCCUGGGGAGUACGGCCGCAAGGUUAAAACUCAAAGGAAUUGACGGGGACCCGCACAAGCGGUGGAUGAUGUGGAUUAAUUCGAUGCAGCGCGAAAAACCUUACCUACCCUUGACAUGCCAGGAACUUGCCAGAGAUGGCUUGGUGCCCGAAAGGGAGCCUGGACACAGGUGCUGCAUGGCUGUCGUCAGCUCGUGUCGUGAGAUGUUGGGUUAAGUCCCGCAACGAGCGCAACCCUUGUCGUUAAUUGCCAUCAUUUAGUUGGGCACUUUAGCGAGACUGCCGGUGACAAACCGGAGGAAGGUGGGGAUGACGUCAAGUCCUCAUGGCCCUUAUGGGUAGGGCUUCACACGUCAUACAAUGGUCGGUACAGAGGGUCGCCAAGCCGCGAGGUGGAGCCAAUCCCAGAAAGCCGAUCGUAGUCCGGAUUGCAGGCUGCAACUCGCCUGCAUGAAGUCGGAAUCGCUAGUAAUCGUGGAUCAGCAUGUCACGGUGAAUACGUUCCCGGGUCUUGUACACACCGCCCGUCACACCAUGGGAGCGGGUUCCGCCAGAAGUAGGUAGCCUAACCGCAAGGAGGGCGCUUACCACGGCGGGGUUCGUGACUGGGGUGAAGUCGUAACAAGGUAGCCGUAGGGGAACCUGCGGCUG